UACGUAGGGGGCGAGCGUUGUCCGAAGUUACUGGGCGUAAAGCGCGCGUAGGCGGUUAUUUAAGUCUGUGGUGAAAGGUUCAGCGCUCAACGCGAACAUUGCCCUGGAUACUGGAUGACUUGAGUCUGGGAGAGGGUGGUGGAAUUUCCUGUGUAGCGGUGAAAUGCGUAGAUAUAGGAAGGAACACCAGUGGCGAAGGCGACCACCUGGACUGAUACUGACACUGAGGUGCGAAAGCGUGGGGAGCAAACAGG
rnacentral:rRNA from 1 species